UAGGGAAUCUUCGGCAAUGGACGAAAGUCUGACCGAGCAACGCCGCGUGAGUGAAGAAGGUUUUCGGAUCGUAAAACUCUGUUGCUAGAGAAGAACAAGGACGUUAGUAACUGAACGUCCCCUGACGGCAUCUAACCAGAAAGCCACGGCUAACUACGUGCCAGCAGCCGCGGUAAUACGUAGGUGGCAAGCGUUGUCCGGAUUUAUUGGGCGUAAAGCGAGCGCAGGCGGUUUCUUAAGUCUGAUGUGAAAGCCCCCGGCUCAACCGGGGAGGGUCAUUGGAAACUGGGAGACUUGAGUGCAGAAGAGGAGAGUGGAAUUCCAUGUGUAGCGGUGAAAUGCGUAGAUAUAUGGAGGAACACCAGUGGCGAAGGCGGCUCUCUGAUCUGUAACUGACACUGAGGCUCGAAAGCGUGGGGAGCAAACAGG
rnacentral:rRNA from 1 species